rnacentral:rRNA from 1 species
AAAUAACGAUACGGGACUCUAUUGAGGCCCCGUAAUCGGAAUGAGUACACUUUAAAUCCUUUAACAAGGAUCCAUUGGAGGGCAAGUCUGGUGCCAGCAGCCGCGGUAAUUCCAGCUCCAAUAGCGUAUAUUAAAGUUGUUGCGGUUAAAAAGCUCGUAGUUGGUUCUGCGUGCCACGCUGUCGGUUCGCCGCCUGUCGGUGUAACUGGCAUGUCGUGGCAUGUCCUGUCGGUGGUGAACGGGGUCCCCGGUACGGCGUAGGCUUCAACAGCCGAAGUUUGUACCGUGUGUGACCUCGUUUGCCGAUCUCUCCUACUCCGGUGCUCUUAAACGAGUGUCGAGGUAGGCCGACACGUUUACUUUGAACAAAUUAGAGUGCUUAAAGCAGGCUAAAAUAUCUGCCUGAAUAGUGGUGCAUGGAAUGAUAAAACAGGACCUCAGUUCUAUUUUGUUGGUUUUAGGAAUAUGAGGUAAUGAUCAAUGUGGACUGGCGGGGGCAUUCGUAUUGCGACGUUAGAGGUGAAAUUCUUGGAUCGUCGCAAGACGCACUAGAGCGAAAGCAUUUGCCAAGUAUGUCUUAAUUGAUCAAGAACGAAAGUUAGAGGUUCGAAGGCGAUCAGAUACCGCCCUAGUUCUAACCAUAAACGAUGCCAGCCAGCGAUCCGCCGAUGUUCCUUUAAUGACUCGGCGGGGAGCUUCUACUCGGGAAACCAAAGCUUUUGGGUUCCGGGGG